rnacentral:rRNA from 1 species
UACGGGGGGAGCAAGCGUUGUUCGGAUUUACUGGGCGUAAAGGGCGGGUAGGCGGCCACCGCAAGUCAGUUGUGAAAUCUCUGGGCUUAACCCAGAAAGGUCAACUGAUACUGCGGGGCUAGAGUGCAGAAGGGGCAACUGGAAUUCUCGGUGUAGCGGUGAAAUGCGUAGAUAUCGAGAGGAACACCUGCGGCGAAGGCGGCCAUCUGGACCGCAACUGACGCUGAGGCGCGAAAGCGUGGGGAGCAAACAGG